UCGUAGUCAAACCCCACAGCCACGCGAACUCUAAGUCAGUCACGAAUAGGCUAUCCCAACUAACGGCGGGAUAGACUCCACGGAGGGUGUAAGACCCGUGUGGGCGUGUGUCAAUGCUGUGCGGGUUCGGCCUCUUUUCCCUGAGAGUCGCGUUGCUUGAGCAUGCAGCGCUAAGCAGGUCGUAAACUCGAUCUAAGGCUAAAUAUAUCCACAGACCCGAUAGCGAACAAGUACCGUGAGGGAAAGUUGAAAAGCACUCUGGAGAGAGAGUCAAAAGACCGUGAAACCGCUCAGAGUAUAAGCCCAUGGCAGCUUGGAAGGCAUAUCGCUAGCGGGGCAUCGGUCUCCCUUCACGGGGAGCUGGUGUGCCUUGCUUCUGUUGUGGCUCGUCACGGUAGGGGGGUCAAGUCCACAUCCCGCCAACGUGUGGGGAGUUCUCGGGUGCGUUGAGUCAGUCGGUUUUGGUUUGGCUCUUCGUGCUUGGUUCUCUUUCAACACGGACGUUCAGACUCAGAGGCAAGACGCGAUAAACAGCCCACCACGGCUCGUUGUGAGGUCACCCACAGACUCAGCUUUGGAUUGUGGUCCUUGACGCCGAGCAAGCACAAUGCGUGUCGCAGAUGUUCCUGACCGGGGGGCCCACCCCCCGGAUGGUGGAACGACACGCGCUCAUGCGAGUCAGGACCGGGCUAUGAAAGAGUUCUGGUACGAUCCUCUUGCGACGAGCCGGCUUCUGGCCAAAUUCCGAUGUUCAGAUCUCCCGCAUGUGCCGCGGGAGAUCGCCUUGACGGUUUGGAGCUUACAGUAGUCCUCUCAGUCGGGCGUCGGAAAGAGUGGUGUAAAGUCCAAGCCCAUCGGUCACGUCUCGAAACACGGGCCAAGGAGUAUAGCAUGUGUGCAAGUCUAAGAGUCUCCCAAAACUCGAAGGCGAAGUGAAAGCAAGGACGCGGCGGGUGAUCUACACAGAGAUCCCGUCAGCUAGAGGGUCCC
rnacentral:rRNA from 1 species